rnacentral:rRNA from 1 species
UGGGGAAUUUUGGACAAUGGGCGAAAGCCUGAUCCAGCAAUGCCGCGUGUGAAGAAGGCCUUCGGGUUGUAAAGCACUUUUGUCCGGAAAGAAAUCCUUGGCUCUAAUACAGUCGGGGGAUGACGGUACCGGAAGAAUAAGCACCGGCUAACUACGUGCCAGCAGCCGCGGUAAUACGUAGGGUGCAAGCGUUAAUCGGAAUUACUGGGCGUAAAGCGUGCGCAGGCGGUUUGCUAAGACCGAUGUGAAAUCCCCGGGCUCAACCUGGGAACUGCAUUGGUGACUGGCAGGCUAGAGUAUGGCAGAGGGGGGUAGAAUUCCACGUGUAGCAGUGAAAUGCGUAGAGAUGUGGAGGAAUACCGAUGGCGAAGGCAGCCCCCUGGGCCAAUACUGACGCUCAUGCACGAAAGCGUGGGGAGCAAACAGGAUUAGAUACCCUGGUAGUCCACGCCCUAAACGAUGUCAACUAGUUGUUGGGGAUUCAUUUCCUUAGUAACGUAGCUAACGCGUGAAGUUGACCGCCUGGGGAGUACGGUCGCAAGAUUAAAACUUAAUGAAUUGACGGGGUCAUAGCUGUUUCCU